UACGAAGGGGGCUAGCGUUGCUCGGAAUUACUGGGCGUAAAGGGUGCGUAGGCGGGUCUUUUAAGUCAGAGGUGAAAUCCUGGAGCUCAACUCCAGAACUGCCUUUGAUACUGAGGAUCUUGAGUUCGGGAGAGGUGAGUGGAACUGCGAGUGUAGAGGUGAAAUUCGUAGAUAUUCGCAAGAACACCAGUGGCGAAGGCGGCUCACUGGCCCGAUACUGACGCUGAGGCACGAAAGCGUGGGGAGCAAACAGGG
rnacentral:rRNA from 1 species